UAUGUGAUCGUCUCUCGCAUAUCAAUAAGCGGAGGAAAAGAAACUAACAAGGAUUCCCCUAGUAACGGCGAGUGAAGCGGGAAGAGCUCAAAUUUGAAAUCUUAAAGGGUUUCCCUUUACGAAUUGUAGUUUAAAGAAGUGUUUUCUGUUGAGGUUUUGGUAAAAGUUCUUUGGAAUAGGACAUCAUAGAGGGUGAGAAUCCCGUAUUUGACCUUUACUUUCAACUUUGUGAUACACUUUCAAAGAGUCGGAUUGUUUGGGAAUGCAGUCCAAAAUGGGUGGUAAAUUUCAUCUAAAGCUAAAUAUUGGCGAGAGACCGAUAGCGAACAAGUACCGUGAGUGAAAGAUGAAAAGAACUUUGAAAAGAGAGUUAAACAGUACGUGAAAUUGUCAAAAGGGAAGCGUUUGACACCAGUGUUGUUUUUCUGAAAAUCAAUUAAAGAACUGUUUAUGCUAAGUUGUUUAGACUUUAUCAGCUAACUGUUUAGUUUUGAGCUUUUCUUUAAUGCACUUUUCAGUUAACAAGUCAACAUCAAUUUCUUUUGCUGUAAAAAAGCUUGAGGAAGGUGGCUUGAGAUUCGUCUUAAGUGUUUAUAGCCUCUUGCCUAUGCAGUCGGAGAGAUUGAGGUCUGCAGCGUAGAUCCUUCGGGGCUAAAUGCAUUUGUGCUAAGUUAUAGCAUUUUAUAGACAACUUGUUGACUAUGAUUUGUCUUGUAGCUUACUCGCUUAUGUUAUUUUACCUACGCUUAGGAUGUUGACGCGCGUGUGUGCGUG
rnacentral:rRNA from 1 species